UACGAAGGGGGCUAGCGUUGCUCGGAAUCACUGGGCGUAAAGGGCGCGUAGGCGGAUCUUUAAGUCGGGGUGAAGCCCAGGGCUCAACCCUGGAAUUACCUUCGAUACUGGAGAUCUUGAGACCGGAAGAGGUAAGUGGAACUGCGAGUGUAGAGGUGAAAUUCGUAGAUAUUCGCAAGAACACCAGUGGCGAAGGCGGCUUACUGGUCCGGUUCUGACGCUGAGGCGCGAAAGCGUGGGAGCAAACGGG
rnacentral:rRNA from 1 species